rnacentral:rRNA from 1 species
GGGUUGUGAGGUUAAGCGACUAAGCGUACACGGUGGAUGCCCUGGCAGUCAGAGGCGAUGAAGGACGUGCUAAUCUGCGAAAAGCGUCGGUAAGGUGAUAUGAACCGUUACAGCCGGCGAUGUCCGAAUGGGGAAACCCAGUGUGAUUCGUCACACUAUCGUUAACUGAAUACAUAGGUUAACGAGGCGAACCGGGGGAACUGAAACAUCUAAGUACCCCGAGGAAAAGAAAUCAACCGAGAUUCCCCCAGUAGCGGCGAGCGAACGGGGAGCAGCCCAGAGUCUGAAUCAGCUUGUGUGUUAGUGGAACGGUCUGGAAAGUCCGACGGUACAGGGUGAUAGUCCCGUACACCAAAAUGCACAGGCUGUGAACUCGAAGAGUAGGGCGGGACACGUGGUAUCCUGUCUGAAUAUGGGGGGACCAUCCUCCAAGGCUAAAUACUCCUGACUGACCGAUAGUGAACCAGUACCGUGAGGAAAGGCGAAAAGAACCCCGGCGAGGGAGUGAAAAGAACCUGAAACCGUGUACGUACAAGCAGUGGGAGCACCUUCGGGUGUGACUGCGUACCUUUGUAUAAUGGGUCAGCGACUUAUAUUCUGUAGCAAGGUUAACCGUAUAGGGAGCCGCAGGAAACCGAGUCUUAACUGGGCGUUAAGUUGCAGGGUAUAGACCCGAAACCCGGUGAUCUAGCCAUGGGCAGGUUGAAGGUUGGGUAACACUAACUGGAGGACCGAACCGACUAAUGUUGAAAAAUUAGCGGAUGACUUGUGGCUGGGGUGAAAGGCCAAUCAAACCGGGAGAUAGCUGGUUCUCCCGAAAGCUAUUUAGGUAGCGCCUCGUGAAUUCAUCUUCGGGGGUAGAGCACUGUUUCGGCUAGGGGGUCAUCCCGACUUACCAACCCGAUGCAAACUACGAAUACCGAAGAAUGUUAUCACGGGAGACACACGGCGGGUGCUAACGUCCGUCGUGAAGAGGGAAACAACCCAGACCGCCAGCUAAGGUCCCAAAGUCAUGGUUAAGUGGGAAACGAUGUGGGAAGGCACAGACAGCCAGGAUGUUGGCUUAGAAGCAGCCAUCAUUUAAAGAAAGCGUAAUAGCUCACUGGUCGAGUCGGCCUGCGCGGAAGAUGUAACGGGGCUAAACCAUGCACCGAAGCUGCGGCAGCGACACUAUGUGUUGUUGGGUAGGGGAGCGUUCUGUAAGCCUGCGAAGGUGACCUGUGAGGGUUGCUGGAGGUAUCAGAAGUGCGAAUGCUGACAUAAGUAACGAUAAAGCGGGUGAAAAGCCCGCUCGCCGGAAGACCAAGGGUUCCUGUCCAACGUUAAUCGGGGCAGGGUGAGUCGACCCUAAGGCGAGGCCGAAAGGCGUAGUCGAUGGGAAACAGGUUAAUAUUCCUGUACUUGGUGUUACUGCGAAGGGGGGACGGAGAAGGCUAUGUUAGCCGGGCGACGGUUGUCCCGGUUUAAGCAUGUAGGCUGGUUGUCCAGGCAAAUCCGGAUAAUCAAGGCUGAGGUGUGAUGACGAGGCACUACGGUGCUGAAGUAACAAAUGCCCUGCUUCCAGGAAAAGCCUCUAAGCAUCAGGUAACAUCAAAUCGUACCCCAAACCGACACAGGUGGUCAGGUAGAGAAUACCAAGGCGCUUGAGAGAACUCGGGUGAAGGAACUAGGCAAAAUGGUGCCGUAACUUCGGGAGAAGGCACGCUGGUGUGUAGGUGAAGUCCCUCGCGGAUGGAGCUGAGACCAGUCGAAGAUACCAGCUGGCUGCAACUGUUUAUUAAAAACACAGCACUGUGCAAACACGAAAGUGGACGUAUACGGUGUGACGCCUGCCCGGUGCCGGAAGGUUAAUUGAUGGGGUUACCGUAAGAGAAGCUCUUGAUCGAAGCCCCGGUAAACGGCGGCCGUAACUAUAACGGUCCUAAGGUAGCGAAAUUCCUUGUCGGGUAAGUUCCGACCUGCACGAAUGGCGUAAUGAUGGCCAGGCUGUCUCCACCCGAGACUCAGUGAAAUUGAACUCGCUGUGAAGAUGCAGUGUACCCGCGGCAAGACGGAAAGACCCCGUGAACCUUUACUAUAGCUUGACACUGAACAUUGAACCUUGAUGUGUAGGAUAGGUGGGAGGCUUUGAAGCGUGGACGCCAGUCUGCGUGGAGCCAACCUUGAAAUACCACCCUUUAAUGUUUGAUGUUCUAACGUUGGCCCCUUACCGGGGUUGCGGACAGUGUCUGGUGGGUAGUUUGACUGGGGCGGUCUCCUCCCAAAGCGUAACGGAGGAGCACGAAGGUUAGCUAAUCCUGGUCGGACAUCAGGAGGUUAGUGCAAUGGCAUAAGCUAGCUUGACUGCGAGCGUGACGGCGCGAGCAGGUGCGAAAGCAGGUCAUAGUGAUCCGGUGGUUCUGAAUGGAAGGGCCAUCGCUCAACGGAUAAAAGGUACUCCGGGGAUAACAGGCUGAUACCGCCCAAGAGUUCAUAUCGACGGCGGUGUUUGGCACCUCGAUGUCGGCUCAUCACAUCCUGGGGCUGAAGUAGGUCCCAAGGGUAUGGCUGUUCGCCAUUUAAAGUGGUACGCGAGCUGGGUUUAGAACGUCGUGAGACAGUUCGGUCCCUAUCUGCCGUGGGCGCUGGAGAAUUGAGGGGGGCUGCUCCUAGUACGAGAGGACCGGAGUGGACGCAUCACUGGUGUUCGGGUUGUCAUGCCAAUGGCACUGCCCGGUAGCUAAAUGCGGAAGAGAUAAGUGCUGAAAGCAUCUAAGCACGAAACUUGCCCCGAGAUGAGUUCUCCCUGAGACUUUAAGUCUCCUGAAGGAACGUUAAAGACGAUGACGUUGAUAGGCCGGGUGUGUAAGCGCAGCGAUGCGUUGAGCUAACCGGUACUAAUGAACCGUGAGGCUUAACCUUACAACGCCGAAG